rnacentral:rRNA from 1 species
UACGAGGGGGGCAAGCGUUGUUCGGAAUUACUGGGCGUAAAGGGCUCGUAGGCGGCCAACUAAGUCGGAUGUGAAAUCCCCAGGCUUAACCUGGGAAUUGCAUCCGAUACUGGAUGGCUUGAAUCCGGGAGAGGGAUGCGGAAUUCCAGGUGUAGCGGUGAAAUGCGUAGAUAUCUGGAGGAACACCGGUGGCGAAGGCGGCCUUCUGGUCCAGUACUGACGCUGAGAAGCGAAAGCAUGGGGAGCGAACAGG